UACGGAGGGGGCUAGCGUUGUUCAGAAUUACUGGGCGUAAAGCGCACGUAGGCGGCUUUGUAAGUUAGAGGUGAAAGCCCGGGGCUCAACUCCGGAAUUGCCUUUAAGACUGCAUCGCUCGAAUUGUGGAGAGGUAAGUGGAAUUCCGAGUGUAGAGGUGAAAUUCGUAGAUAUUCGGAAGAACACCAGUGGCGAAGGCGACUUACUGGACACAUAUUGACGCUGAGGUGCGAAAGCGUGGGGAGCAAACAGG
rnacentral:rRNA from 1 species